GUUAGGGAACGGGGAACCCACGCCGGUUGCCUUCGUCUUCCCAGAAGGAGCAGCAGUAUCGGCUCGUCCUUGUCCUCAACAGCAGUACAGGCUCGACCUCAUGAGCAGCUCGUCCUCGCAGGCUCGCAGUAGUACGUGCAGCAGCAGUGUGCUUGCUCUACUCCGGAGGGAAUUCCCGGCAUCCUAAUGAGCCCUGAUGUUUCCCUUUCUUCAGCUCCUGCCACCGAGCUCUGGGGGCGCUCUGUCAUGUGCCAUGUCCCGAUGCAGGUUUCUCUGCCAUUCUGGCGUUUAAUCCAAGUGUGCUGGUGUGGACUUGAAAAAGAUGCAGAAAGUAGUGCCCAGCAGGAGGAAACGUGCUUGGAUUCAAGUCACUGGCAGUGUACGAUUGAUUUGUUAGCUGUGAAUUCAGAUGUCUUUACUCUUUUGCUGGUUUAGAGCGGUGCAGAUCGUUCAGCCUCCCCAAGACGUUCACUGGCACAUGGGUGAGAAAGUACAAGUAUUCACGUAUGGGCGUUGCUAGUUGGUGCAUGUGGAAAGUUCAGCUGCUACUAGCUUUUUUUCAGGAGAACACAUCAAAGAGCGCGACCCUGACGCCGGCACCCUUCCCCGCACCAGUACAAGCACGAUUUUAGGCGAAGUACAGGGCGACAAGCUUUCCUCCGACGCAUGCGUGCUGCUUGAAAACUCUGAAGUACAAGGCGACAAGUUUUCUACAUGAACGCGUGUUGCUGAUGCCUCCCUCACGAAUGAUUCCUCUGUUUUCUUUCUCUCCAUGUUUAUGUAGAUGCUCUCUCUCUCUGAUUGAAAACAAAGUGUUUUGGUUUCCUUUGCACAUGAUGGAGAAGAAAUUAAAAGACAGCUCUCUUUCCUGAUCUUGUAACGGAUAUCUUCAAUCUGAAUACAUGGCUUUGCUCC